rnacentral:tRNA from 1 species
GGGUGUAGCUCAGGGGCAGAGCAUUUGCAUAGCAUGCACAAGGCCUGGGUUCAGUACCCCAUUGCACCCC